UAUAGAGUUUGAUCCUGGCUCAGAUUGAACGCUGGCGGCAUGCCUUACACAUGCAAGUCGAACGGCAGCGCGGGAGCAAUCCUGGCGGCGAGUGGCGAACGGGUGAGUAAUACAUCGGAACGUGCCCAAUCGUGGGGGAUAACGCAGCGAAAGCUGUGCUAAUACCGCAUAAGAUCUACGGAUGAAAGCAGGGGACCGCAAGGCCUUGCGCGAAUGGAGCGGCCGAUGGCAGAUUAGGUAGUUGGUGAGGUAAAGGCUCACCAAGCCUUCGAUCUGUAGCUGGUCUGAGAGGACGACCAGCCACACUGGGACUGAG
rnacentral:rRNA from 1 species